rnacentral:lncRNA from 1 species
UGCGUGGUAUCAAGAGGCGCAUUGAGGCGCUCCUGCAGCCUCCUCCCGGCACGGGACUCCUCACAACCCCCAGCCUCAGCUUCCCCGACAGGGCAGGGGCUCAGUCUUCCCCACUCCGGGCCAGGAACGCAGCCUGCUUGCCUUUUGUCCAAUUGGGUGCUCUUUCUUUGCGACUGAUACAAAGUAGGAACAAACUCCGCUUCCGGUGAUGCCCGGGCCCCAGGAGGCUGGGGGAGAAGUGCACGCUGCCCAGCCUUCAACCUGAACUGCCCCCAGCACUUCCGAGCCCCGACCCCUGCAGCUGUGAGGGAAGCCCCUACCUCUGCCCUGGCCACAUCCUUCCCCUGAUCUCAUGGCUGAAAAGCCACACCAGAAUUCCUGCAGUUCAGUGAAGCAGCUGUUCAAAACCAAGCAGCUGGUGACGCACAGGGACAGAGGGUAGGCCUUCGGGGGAGAGGGCGGGAAAGGCCCUCACAGCAGGGCCCAGAGGAAGACUGACCACCCCAGGCUGAGCAGGAGCUGUACGCACAGGGCCCAGGGGCUGCCGGCUGCCAGGACCACCGCAUUGCAGAGGUCUCCCUUGCAGCAGGAGAUCUGGGAGUCCACGACGGCACUUAACCUGCCCUCUGCCCUGGCACCCCAGGGACUCACUGCCAAAGACGCUCACUUUCUGGGAGACACAGACCCCAUCCAGGAAGGGGCACAAGACCAUGCUGCAGGAGGCCCCUUCCAAGACCGCCAACCAUCCAUAGCAGCGCAGACCCUGAGCUGGGAGAGAGGGCAAGGAUUCUCUCGGCACCACGGGAACCACCUUCUCUACUCUCACUGAACACCCCUGGGAUGUAUCUGUAAAAAUUGGAACACCUUUCGGCUAGAAACCAGAGGAAGCCGCUCAUGACACCCGGGAGCUCACAGAGGCUCUGAAGUUUCUAUUCAAGAAAACAACUCCAGAUGGGGCUGAUCUGGAAGACAAGUAACAUCUUCCUUUUCUUGGUGCUCGCCUGCCGUGCUCUAGGUGCUUUUAGAGAUGCUGGUCUGUGUGCUAGGGAAGCGAUGAACCAUACUGUUAGUCUAUUAAGCAUAACUCAACCUGGCUAGCUUUCCAUGACUACCAAAUGCUGGGAAUAUGCCAGACCUGUGCCUGUGGAAGAACCUGGCCUCCCAGCACACCUCCAGGAACAAACUCCCUGGCCCGCAGGAUGGGGACAGCAGCCGCAACAGUCAAUACAAAGGGAUUUUACUGGGUGGGCUCAUGGGUUCUUUAAGUUCCCCCUCUUAACGAUCAACGGUAAUUCAAAUGUCCCAAAAGGAGAAAUGCUUUCUUAGCAUAUUUUUAUCUGGAGUAUUUCCCCUUCUGCCUUUACAGCAAUCAUGCCAGUUCUACCACUUUUGCAGGAAAGCUCCAAGACAGUCAGUGUAGCUGAACCUUUGUCACUGGGUCACCUAUCUAGUCCAUACGUCUGCAGGAAUUAUACUGAUAAAUGGACAACUCGCCCAUGCAAUCAAUCUCCCGCUCUAUCCUGUUCCCUGACCGGCAUGGUUUCUACUUCCUGUCAGCACAACUAGGACGUCUGGUUUCUGCUGGGCUGCCCUCUCAUGGGAAGCCUUUAAUCACUCUAUCUCAAUAUAUCCUCUGGGGACCAUCAACAUUUCCUAUUAAAGAUAACUACACCUGGCCGGGCGCGGUGGCUCACACCUGUAAUCCCAGAACUUUGGGAAGCCAAGGCGGGUGGAUCACGAAGUCGGGAGAUCGAGACCAUCCUGGCUAACACAGUGAAACCCCGCCUCUACUAAAAAUACAAAAAAUUAGCCAGGCGUGGUGGUGGGUGCCUGUAAUCCCAGCUACUUGGGAGGCUGAGGCAAGAGAAUGGCGAACCUAGGAGGCGGAGUUUGCAGUGAGCUGAGAUGGUGCCACUGCACUCCAGCCUGGGGGACAGAGCUACACUCCGUCUC